rnacentral:rRNA from 1 species
UACGUAGGGGCUAGCGUUGUCCGGAAUCAUUGGGCGUAAAGAGCGUGUAGGCUGCUCGGUAAGUCCGCUGUAAAAGUCAAAGGCUCAACCUUUGAAUGUCAGUGGAUACUGCCGGGCUAGAGUCCGGAAGAGGCGAGUGGAACUCCUGGUGUAGCGGUGGAAUGCGCAGAUAUCAGGAAGAACACCGGUGGCGAAGGCGGCUCUCUGGGCCUUACCUGACGCUGAGGAGCGAAAGCGUGGGUAGCGAACAGG